rnacentral:rRNA from 1 species
AUUCACGGAGAGUUUGAUCCUGGCUCAGGACGAACGCUGGCGGCGUGCUUAACACAUGCAAGUCGAACGCUGAACCGCUUUCGGGCGGGGAUGAGUGGC